GCGUCAGCCAUUACUUGUCAACGAGUCGUGGCCGUGGGCUGUCUGCCGGUUUUACCUUAUCAACGCCACACCAUAUUCCAACCAUGAGUGCCAAAUUGUUAGAGUACAGGGAAGCCAUAGAACGCCAGCUGGGCGACAAAAGCAAGCCAUGGACCAAGACUUUCGAGCAAUUGGAAUCGAAAACCGGCGUGAACAGACUGUACCUUUUCGUCGGUCUGGUGGCGUUCACCGGUUUAUAUUUAGUGUUUGGAUUCGGCGCUGAGCUGAUAUGCAACUCGAUUGGUUUCGUUUACCCUGCCUACAUGUCCAUGAGGGCUCUGGAGUCCCCUUCGAAGGAUGACGACACGAAGUGGCUGACAUACUGGGUGGUGUACGCGUGCUUCUCGGUAGUGGAAUACUUUUCCGACUUCAUCGUGGGAUGGUUCCCGCUCUAUUGGUUAAUAAAGUGCAUCUUCAUCAUAUGGUGCUACCUGCCCGGAGAACUGAACGGCUCGCUCGUCCUCUACCACCGCAUCAUCCGCCCCUACUACCAGAAGCACCACUCACAGAUCGACGCCGCCGCCAGCGCAGUUGCGAACGCAGUAAAUAAGAAAGUAGAUAAAGCCUUUGCGGCCAUUACAAAAAAAAUUGAUGAACUGCAUAAUGACUAAUGUCAAAGGUAAAAUGGAUUAAAGCAGUAAAGUUCAUACAAAAUUCAAUGCCAGCCGCGUCGUCAAGGAUACCAUCGGGAAGGCUAACUAACCGAUGACAAAAACAAUUUCGGGAGCAAAAAGUACAAAUAUCAUGCACCCGCUUCAUGCCGAGCUUGCAACACAAUCACGCCAUUUAAUAUAUGAAAAUAUGUGUAGCACAGUCUUAACUGUCAAAUUAAUUGUUACUUAUUGACAGACGCCGUGUCAGCUGUGCAAGAAUAUUGUUGAUAUAUAUUUCUGUAUAGGUGCUUUUUGAUUAACUCGGCAAAAAGUUGCCGCUGCCUAAUAAGGAUCAAUUUCAUCAGAUAGUUGACGAUCACGGCUUCGAAAAAAAAAAGGAAAACACUUUAGUUUUGACCUAAAAGUAUUGUAACAUCUGGGGCCCAUUUCUCGAAAGGUAGUCUAAUAGUAAUAGUAUGUUGCCAUGGUAACCCUUACGACUUGCCAGUUCGUGGACUAAUAAUAUUAGUCUAAUACCGUUCGAGAAAUGUUAUCCGAUUUGACUACACAAUGGAAUUGGUUUAUUUUCCAUUUUGUUAAGGAAACCGUGUAAUGUAAAGUAGUUAAGGAUUUUUUUUACGAUCGUAACUUUCUUCUAUUUGUAACAUUUAUUUAGUACCUAACCUAAUUAAAUUUUUAGUUGAAUCUUUUCUUUUUGCCUCUUUUUCUAUCAAGAUCUUACAUCUUGAUAGAAACGUUAAUGUUAAUCGAAGGCAUAUUUUUUUUUCGUUUCUAGAUCUCAUAGCGGAAUUGAUUUAAGUUUUCCCUGUUGUAUACGCAUUAAAUUUUUGCUCAAGGAAUGUUAGUAGAGGACAAAUUUCUCUCGUUACAAAAAAUGUGUUUUUAGGUUACGCAAAUUUCCACAUUUGACAGGCAAACUAUACAAAACAAUUUUUCUACAUUUUGUAUAAAAAUUUAUAGCAAGCAUUUACAUUAUAUUGUUAUACUAGUUCGAAGUUAUAACUUAGGAGUUAUAUUUUGCCAUCAAUGUUAUAAAAAAUUUGACACAAAACAGUUUUUCACAUUUGCUUGUGAUGAAAUAAUAUAUGGUAGUGUGCCUUUGAUGAUUUGGCUGUUAAAAUGUAAUUUUAUUGUAUGCACUUGGAGGGAGUUUUUUAGUCCUGUCAUUUUUCACGUAAUAAAACGAGUUCAUUUACAA